UCCAUAUUCCUUGGGCACAGUGAGUACUGUUCAACACUCACCAUGUUAUUUAUUACACGGCAAGCAUUCAUUCACACAAGUGUGGUACUGUUAUGUUUGACUUUGUAAAGAUGAACGUAGAUAGAAAAUCAGCCAUGUUUAUGAUACACAGUGAAGGUGUCGAUGUGGAACCAAGAGACAUACCGUACUAGAAAUCGAUGAAAACACUGGAGAGAUUACAGUGCAUGGACUUUGAAAAACACAAAUCCUUGAAGCUGAUAUUUCAGGCAAUAGACAGGAUCAAAAAUGUAGUGGACACCCGACGGGUAAUUGACAUUCAAAUUAUUGAUGCAAAUGACCACUCGCCAGAGUUUGACCGUGAAAUAUCGGAGGUCACUGUGAAGGAGUCGACAUUACAAGGCGCCAGACUGAUUACGGUUCAGGCAGUAGAUGCUGACAUGCAAUUAAAAUAAAAUAUUUGAUUUACAAAUACUGUUAGUAACACCCAAACCACAUGACCUGGAGUUGUAUACCUUAAGAGAAGUGAUGCUCAAACUGGAACCAUUUCCUUUAAAGGGUGUCUGGAUUAUGAGAAAGCAAAGAAAUACACCAUUUUGGUGCAGGCCAAAGAUCGUGGGAAACCAAAGCAGCACUCCAGCUCCUGCACCGUCAUAGUUAAUAUAGAAGAUGAAAACAAUCACCUUCCUGUCAUAACAGGACAGACUGGUUCGGAAAAGUCAAAGAAGGGCUGAAAAAUGUUCUUAUUUUACGUCUUCAAGUCACUGACAAAGAUCGAAGAGGUACAGCAGCAUGGAGAGUGAAAUACAGGAUCCAUGGAGAAAUAAACAAGAAUUUCAGAAUCUCUACUCAAUACCAAGACAAAUGAAGGGUUACUGUAGGUGGAAAAGGUAUUUUGCCAAUACAUGUACUUUUAACCUAAUAGCCAACUGCUCCUGGUUGGCGGAUGGUGUAUUGUACUGUAAUUUACUUCU